GACGAACGCUGGCGGCGUGCCUAAUACAUGCAAGUAGAACGCACAGUUUAUACCGUAGCUUGCUCCACCAUAGACUGUGAGUUGCGAACGGGUGAGUAACGCGUAGGUAACCUGCCUGGUAGCGGGGGAUAACUAUUGGAAACGAUAGCUAAUACCGCAUAAUAUUGAUUAUUGCAUGAUAAUUAAUUGAAAGGUGCAAUUGCACCACUACCAGAUGGACCUGCGUUGUAUUAGCUAGUAGGUGAGGUAACGGCUCACCUAGGCGACGAUACAUAGCCGACCUGAGAGGGUGAUCGGCCACACUGGGACUGAGACACGGCCCAGACUCCUACGAGAGGCAGCAGUAGGGAAUCUUCGGCAAUGGACGAAAGUCUGACCGAGCAACGCCGCGUGAGUGAAGAAGGUUUUCGGAUCGUAAAGCUCUGUUGUAAGAGAAGAACGGGUGUGAGAGUGGAAAGUUCACACUGUGACGGUAUCUUACCAGAAAGGGACGGCUAACUACGUG
rnacentral:rRNA from 1 species